GGUGGUGUGUCCGAGCGGCCUAAGGAGCACGCCUCGAAAGCGUGUGUGGGUUCACGCCCACCGUGGGUUCAAAUCCCACCGCCACCG
rnacentral:tRNA from 1 species